GAUCAUGGCUCAGGAUGAACGCUAGCUACAGGCUUAACACAUGCAAGUCGAGGGGCAGCGGGAUUGAAGCUUGCUUCAAUUGCCGGCGACCGGCGCACGGGUGAGUAACGUGUAUCCAACCUGCCUACCACUUGGGGAUAACCUUGCGAAAGUAAGACUAAUACCCAAUGACAUCCCACGAAGACAUCUGAAUGGGAUUAAAGAUUUAUCGGUGAUGGAUGGGGAUGCGU
rnacentral:rRNA from 1 species